rnacentral:misc_RNA from 1 species
GGAACUGCGGAAACAGCUUAAACCACUCAAGGAGAAAUUUAUGAGAAUCAAGAGCAGUCUUCACAUCACCGGUAUUAUAAUCAGAUUCAUCUUUUGAAUAAGACAGCCCAACUCCAGCAGGCGAAUCCAAAUAUAUGAUGUUGGAGACCUUCGACCAGCUGUAAGGAUUAAGAUGAAGUUUUGGAAGGCCACCCGUUGUGUUUGCUGCUUCAAAGUUGAAUGGCCCAUGUUCAUAAACG